UGCGUAUUAGCUCAGUUGGUAGAGCAUCUGACUGUUAAUCAGAGUGUCGUCAGUUCGAGCCUGACAUACGCAG
rnacentral:tRNA from 1 species